GUGUGUGUGUGUGUGAGAGGAGGAGGAAGCUAACACCAGCUACAGUUAGCCAUGACACGAAGCACCACUUCCGCUGGUGACCUUCAAGACACGAUGAAACACCGCCAUGUUGAGCAUUAGGAGCCAGAGUCUACACAGCAAUCAUCGGAGGAUGGAGCCGCAGUAACGAGGUCCCAUCAAUACACAAGCUCCACCAAUGCUGACUCCGGCCUCCUGAGCAAAUAGAUAGCGAUACACCAAGCCUCUUGAUGGUCGGAAGGAGAGUGUGGAACGUGUCCUUGCAGCCUCUCCCUUCCUGGGCUUUAUGUCACCGUGGUCGGGGUCCAUACGUGCGGAGGAAAGGGUGGGACGCGUGCUACCGUUUUUUUCUGCUAACAUGUUUCUUCUCCUGCCAAGGUGGGGUCAAGAAGAGCUUGUUUGUGUACCUUUAAGAUGCUCGACGGGGAAACAGGUGAUGGUGGGACGUAUAUAGAUGGAGGAUUAAACAAGUCCAGCAGGUCUUUACAUCGUGUAAACUUUAUAGGCUGUUGGAGCAGAGGGAGGUAGAUAAAAUAAGACAAGAAAAAAAACAAUAGAAAUCUGCACAUUAGAUCAUUUUCAAAUAAAAUUUGAUCUUGAAAGUUUUCAGUCUGUAACUGUUUUACUUGUCAAUAUGCAGCUGGACUUUAUUAGAAUGACAUCACAACUCAAAACACAUCUGUUUACAUCAGGCUCCCAUACAUUACAUCUUAUUCAUCUCACACUAAUCAGAUUUUAACAUUUGGUUUUACUUCAAUUUCAUGCGUUCACAUUUGAUGAACUAUUAGCCGUCUAUGCCUCUUAACCAGGUUUAUAACCUUUGUUUUACUUUUUAGUUAUUGUGUCUCCUAAUCUCUUUUACUUUCAUUAUUUGUGUGUUUAUUGUAAUGUCCUUGGGUGUUUAGAAAGGCACAGUGAAAUUAAAUGUAUUAUUCAUCCUCACUGGCAGCUGUAGAAAUGUUUUCCAGUACAAUGAUGCAUUCAAGAGGAAUGCA